UACGAAAGGGGCUAGCGUUGUUCGGAAUUACUGGGCGUAAAGCGCACGUAGGCGGCCUUGUAAGUUGGGGGUGAAAUCCCCGGGCUCAACCCGGGAACUGCCUUCAAGACUGCAAAGCUCGAGGAUGCGAGAGGUUAGCGGAAUUCCGAGUGUAGAGGUGAACUUCGUAGAUAUUCGGAAGAACACCAGUGGCGAAGGCGGCUAACUGGCGCAUUUCUGACGCUGAGGUGCGAAAGCGUCGGGAGCAAACAGG
rnacentral:rRNA from 1 species